rnacentral:ncRNA from 2 species
GAACCAUCCGGAGCGGCCAAGAGACCUGGCUCAAUGACGCCGCAGCAACCCGUCAGGGCAGGACGUCCUGCCUGCAGAAGGUGCUACUGCCAGGACCGAUGGAAA